GACGAACGCUGGCGGCGUGCUUAACACAUGCAAGUCGAACGGAAAGGCCUUGUUUUCGUGGGGUGCUCGAGGUACUAGCGUGUGAGUCACACGUGUGUAACGUGCGUGUUACGCUGGGAUAUCUGGAGUAAGCUUGGGCUACUACGUCUUAUUAGCGCUUGCUGCAUGGGGUGGGUUGGAAGGUUUCGGGGGUUGGGGUUGGAGUCGCGGCUUAGCAGGUGGUUGGUGGGGUAGUGGCUUACCAAGGCCUGGACGGGAAGCGGGCCUGAGAGGGUGACCGGCCAAAAUGGGACUUGAGAUACGGCCCAGAAUCCUACGGGAGGCAGCAGUGGGGAAUAUUGCACAAUGGGCGGAAGCCUGAUGCAGCAACGCCGGGUGCGGGAUGACGGCCUUCGGGUUGUAACCCGCUUUCGCCUGUGACGAAGCGUGAGUGACGGUAAUGGGUAAAGAAGCACCGGCUAACUACGUG
rnacentral:rRNA from 1 species